CCCCGAUCGGCCGAGGUCCCACUGCGGCCGGCGUCCCAGGAGUGGUCCCCGUGCUGUGCCGGGCGCCUGUCCCGUCCUCUCCCCUCCCCACCGUCCCCACUCAACCCCCCGCACCCACCCUGAACCACCUGGGAGCGGGGGGUGCUGUUCAUGUCCCUGGGAGCUGCUGCUGCUGCUGGCCCAAAGAGGACUCGCAGCAGCCUCGUGUCGUCUGUGUGUGCAAGGUUUGAUCGGCUUUGUAGCGGAUGUGCUGUUACAGGCUGGGAGCGCUCGGUUUCCUGGGUGGGGAAGUCUUUGAAGUAGCCGAGCUGAGCAGUUGCUGAGAGUUCCAAGGCUGGUGUCCCCUGGGAUUCUUGAAACAAUGUUUAAAUAGUUAUCAUGGAGUUGAGGCAGCGGCUGGAGUCGGUUUGUUCGAGCGGCAGAAACAGCUUUUCGCCUGCAAGUGUGUUGGGAUAAGCAACCCUCCCUAAUGUCAGAAUGAAUUUGUGUGCCUUCUUUGUGCAUUGUCUAUGCAUGUUGUUGUGUCUCUGCCUGUGCUUGUACUGCAUUCCCAGUGCUGUAUGGGGUUUGCAGGAAGGGGAGUCCUUCUAUCCUUUCCUAUGUUAGACCUGUGUCAGACUUUGAUUGUCCAUAGGGUUGGGGGGCAGACCCUGAAGGCCAUUUGUUCCUCUAUUUGUCCUUCCUUCCUUUCUUUAAUCCAUUUGAGUCUUUUUAGUCAUCCUCUGCUGUCCCCCUGAACUUUGGGUGUGUCACAGUGUACGUCACUGCCAGGGGAUCCCUAAAGCUUUUCUGUUAAGAUGCUGUAUUUGUCCGGUGCCACGGGGGCCACGAAUCCGAAUCUGUCUUUUUUAUGAACCUUUAGUGGGGAGGGAUGUAUCGCCAUCUUAUUGUUACUACUUGUGGUGUACGUUUAUAGUAGGGAAACUUUCUAGCCCAUGGGUGAAGUGAUCCAGUCUAACAAGUAGGUGGUAGUACCUUUGUGCCAGAGGCAUUUCUGUGAAAUGCAUUCUUUUUCUUUGAAAAGGCCUCUAUGCUCUUGGUCUCCCUCUUGGUGUGGGGUUUUUCUCAUUGCUUUUUGGUUUAGUUUUUGGGCUCUGAAGCCUCCAUCCCUAACUGCUUUUCCAAGACUGUUGUUAGGGGUUAGUCUCCUUUAGUUUUUCCUUCCGCAAAGUUACGGAGCGUAUGCUUAUGAUAGUUUGCAGUAUACAGCCUCAUUUCCUCCUAUGCACUGUGACCUUCAGAGGUCCUUUCAAAGCCUUGUAUUUACAGACCUGUUGAAUACCCAGAUCUGAAUUUAUAUUGCUCCCUGUCACCUCCCAUUCCUCCCUUUGUACGCUCCUUGCCAUAAAGGCUCUGAAGCAUGUGUGGCUUGUUUCCUAAAAUGAGUGCUGGGUCUAUGUUGAGGAGGUGUCCCCAAAAUGAGGAAGAUGAAUCUUCCUGAUCCUGACCUUUCUACCUUUUCAAUGCAUUUGUGACCCAUGUUAGCGCUUAAGAGUUUUGUGAAUUGAAUGGAUUCUUUGAGCAGGAAGUCUGCAUCUAAGUUGUGCGCUCUUGGUCACGUUUUGUUUUUCCUUACAAGCAUAGCUCCAUCAACAUAAAGCUGACAAGCAAGGAGUUAGUGAAUCUGGGCUAUCUUGUCUUAGUUGUGGCUUGUGUUGAGUGUGUAGCAAGCUUCCCUAUGUCUUUCAGCUAUUUCAGUGACUUAUUCUGUUCAGUUUCCUAAAAAACCCCAACGGUUGAAAUUUAAUGUCUCCCUCUAACACUUUUUCCUUUCUUGUAGGUGGUGGGUUUUUUUCCCUUUGCCCAGAGAGAAACAUAGAUACUUUGAGCUGGGCCUGCUGGUCUCCCCCUGCAUCUGUAGGGGGGAUGCUGGCCUGAGGCUGGGCUGUAUUCUAUUUGCUCUUGGGUGGAGGUGUAAGGAGAGGUGGCUGGCUUUGCAGCAUCUAUUUUGUCACCCUGCUCCUAAGACCUUGAGAUUUUUUUGCUCGGCCCCUGCUAAGAGCUCUGCCUACUAUUUAGGCUGAGCUUGUGCGAUGGCUAUGGAGGGGUGGGCCAGAGGCCUUGAUGAUCUUGUUUUUGUGAGUUUCAAGCGCUUGGCUGGUGUGAUGUGCAAUGUUUCUGCAUGACUUGUUAUUUCUUACUGUUGACUUGACCUGUGCUACUGUGGGAAGCCUUUAGGCAGCUUUCCCAUGUUGUUGUUGUUAUGUAAGGAAUGGCAGACCUGUAUUGCGAAGGAAGAUGAUUCCAUCUUCUCCUCAGGUCUAUCCCUUCUUUUUGCUCAAGGCAGUGGCCAGAGCUGUAGGCAGUGCCUAUUUGUUUUUAGAAUCCGCUUGUAAAGAUGUAUCUUUCUCCCUCCAUCCUGUCUCCUAGCUGGAAGUCUGGGGAUGCCAGGGGAUAACAGGCACGUUGUGACUUGUCCCUAGAGCAGUCCUAAGUCCUUGAAGCAUUUCUCCUGUGCCAUGAGGACCCCUAUCUCUGUGUAUGUCUUAUACGAUGCCCGAGCUUGGCCUUGUUAGCUGCAGAACUGCUUUGAUCCCUCCUGUGUUUGGUGCUGGAAGGGCUGGUCACGCCUGUGUCUACUGUGUUGCCUGACAUGCUAGGACUAGGUGGUCUUUCGUCACCGGUGGCCUUUUGGUACAAUGCACCUGGCCUAUCUGGAAGGCACGUGUAGGCCCAGGCCUCCCAGUGUUCCCUGGCAAGUGUUCCUGUCCCUCUGUUCUUGGCUAUAGCAGCUGUGUAACCCCCUUUCAUCAUUUGCUUUGCCGGGGUGAAAAGUGCGAGAGCAGCAGGCAUUUGUAGGGAGGCUUGUGGGUGUUGUGGGGAGCCCUAGCGAGUCCCUGGAUGGGGUUGUUAUUUUAAGUGUAAGGCCAGAGCUCUUGGCAUGCACCGCUUACCAUCCCUUUGAAACCAAAGCCUGUGUUUUUCCUGUGUCCCAGCCCCCUCUUUGUCUUUCUGUCUAGUUCUUGUCUUACAGAAGAGAGAUUGCCUGCCUGUGAUGCCCUUCCUUCAAUGCUAGAGCUUUUUGGCCCCUAUGCAUGUUUUGGAGCUUUUCAGUCCCUUGGGUUUCUUAUGGCCUCUUCUGAGUCCCCUGUUGGGUAGGUGUCUUUCUAUUUCCCAUGUGUUUUGGCUGCCCUUUUGGCUAAGAUCAGCCCUGCUAAUAGGUGAGAGCUGCAGUUUAGCUGAAGGGCUUUGUUUCCCCUGCAGGGAUUUUAAAUGGCUUUUAAGGAAUUCUAAAUGACUUUUAAGGAAUCCUGAAUGGCUCAGGAAGCAUUUUCCUGCUGGAAAGAGUCAUGGAAAAGGCCCCAAGUGCCAGGAGCAGUCAGGGCACUGCUGUCAUAGCUGUUGCAGGAGAGGGGCACAAAUCUAAUUAACAGCUACAGUCCUAAUUGGGAGCUCUUAGAGCCACCUGUCCCCUUCUGCUCCAGCCUUUCCUGGGAAGAAGAAUCCCUGGGAAGAGUAGGGAGGAAUUCUUCCUCUUUUCCAGCUUUGCUGUUGCUGGGAGCGUUUUUUUUAAUGCUCUUCAGCGCAGCAGAGAGAAUAAAAUACGGAGUAUUUGUGGGCUGGGAUUCACCUGCUAGAACUGCUGCAGCCCAGGAUAUCUUUGGCUCAAUAUUCCUGGUGUUUUUUCCAGAAGGAACAGCUCAGAGGUGACAGAUGUUUGUGUGAUGAGGGGAAGGGAGAAUUUGGAUCCCACAGAAGUUCUGGAGGAAUGCAGAAAUGUUUAUUCCUGUGGCCAUCCCCGUGCUGGGAAAAAACAAAGAGUUCACCCUCUUGUGCUGGUUUUUCUUUUUGGGGAUCCUAAUAAUCUUUGCCUUGGUGGGUUUUUUUUGUUUGUUUUUGUUGUUUUGUUUUGGUUUUGGUUUUGUUUUUUGUUUUGGCAGGCAAACGGCGAAAAUCUUCUCCCAAACUUCUUGUUCUGAGUGAAGCUAAAAAGUAGUUGCUGAUCUACAGACUACCUCAGGUCCUUCGGUUGCACCUUAAACGCUUCAGGUGGUCUGAGCGCAAUCACCACGAGAAGAUCGGGGUCCAUGUUCUCUUUGAGCAGGUAUUAAACAUGGAACCUUACUGCUGCCUGGACUCUCUGCCCUCCCUUGCCACAGAGACCUUUGUCUAUGACCUCUCAGCUGUGGUGAUGCAUCACGGGAAGGGCUUUGGCUCAGGACACUACACAGCCUAUUGCUACAACACGGAGGGAGGUUUUUGGGUGCACUGCAAUGACUCCAAACUGAAUGUGUGUAGUGUGGAGGAGGUGUGCAAGACCCAGGCCUACAUCCUCUUCUACACUCAGAGAAUGCUGCAGGACAAAGCAGGAAUCCCAGAAAAACAACUCCAAGCUCAGGUUUUUGCCACCCAAAACCAGUGACAAGGACACAAGACUGACAUUGCCAUGAGGGGACAUUCCCAGCUUCUUUUGGGGAACUUUUGGUGUUCAUCUUCCCCUUCUUUGCAGGGAAAACUGCAGGAAUGGGAUCAGGGCAGGAACGGGAUCAGGGUAGGGACGGGAUCAGGGCAGAGAUCAGGGCAGGGACGGGAUCCGGGCAGGGAUGGGAUCAGGGCAGGAAAGGGAUCGGUGCAUGGAUCAUGGCAGGGAUGGGAUCAGGGCAAGAUAUUUGGAAAACCUUCUGGAGCUGGGCAGUUCCGAUUUGGGGCAGAAUCUUGGGGUUUGAGUGUCUUUUCAGCUCAAAAAAAAAAUGAAACUAUAAAGUUUGAUGCUGUUCGUUCAUCCCCUAUCAAAGAGGAAUGAGCCCAAGCUGGCAAUGGGAGAAUCCAGCUGGAUCAACACCCUUCAAUCCCUAAAAAUCCUGAUCCAGCUCCAGCUCCAAGAGGAACAGGUACAGUACCCUUGAGCGGUCUGGUAAAUCCCAGGGAAACUCCCAGAGCUGUUCCUGCUGGAAAAAAAUGUUUAAAUUCUUCUCAGUUCCUCCUCUGCUGCCCCUGAUACCGAUUUCUGCGCCCUGGGUGAAGCUUUGCCAGCAGCUCUGUGUGGCUGUGGCACUGCGGCUCUGCCACAUUCCAGGAUUUGCUCAGGGCUGAUCUAGCUGGCAGCUUAAUUCCCUCAGAAGCGGGAUUUUCAUGGAGUUCUGCUGUGGAGAAAAUGGGUCGUAGCCCUCGAAAAGUUGUGUUUGACACACCAAAAAUGGGUUUUAAAACCCCCCCCGAAAUGGGUUUUAACCUCCAUAAAUGUGUUUAAGCACAGAAAAAUGUUUCUACCACACAAAAAAUGUAGUUUAACCCCCAGAAAUGUGUUUUAACACACAUCAAGUGGGUUUUAACACACAAAGUGUUUGAACCCCCAAAAAUGGGGUUUAACACAAAAAAAAAUGCAUUUUAACUCCCAGGAAUGUCCGUGAGUGCCACAUCUGGCAGCCAACCCAAAACCCGUGCUCCAAGUUUCUGCAGGCAUCACCUAGGAUUGGGAACAGUUUCCAAGAGCUGUGGCAGCAGAAGUUGGAGCUGGGGAGGCAAAUUCUCUUUUUGGACAAAUGUAGCUGCAUUUCCUCAGGGGAAUGGGGGGUUUUGGGUGAAAGAUCCGCGAGAAAUGUAAUUUCUUGAGGUUGGCACAGGGGUGGUGCCAGCCUUGGAGGUCUUUGUUCCUGCAGGGCCACCCAAGGGGAGGAAUGUGAAAUCCCAGAUUCCACGUGGAGUUGGAAAAGCUCCAAAACCACAAAGUCUGGAUCUGGAAUCAGAUGGAUUUUGGAAUUCUGUGGGAAAACAGAGCCUUAGUUGGACUAUUUACAGUCACUUUUCAGCCUACAGUUGCACCUCAGGUGUGUUUUUUUGUAAUUUUGGGGCUUGGCUGUUCACGUUUCACAUUUAAAUCUGAAUAUUAGACCUGCUGUCUGUUCAUCUGGGUUAUUUUCUGAAAAAUAAUGGGAAAUAUGAAGGGGGGUUUUUUGUUUGUUUGGUUUUGUGUUGAAUUCAGUUUUCAGAUGGGGAAGUUUUCCAAGUGUUUCUCCUCCUCUCUUUUUGCUCCCUUUGUUUCAUCAGGUAAACACAACCUGCCAACAUUUGUUAUUGUGGGGGGUGGGGGAAAGCUCCCAAAUUCCACUUUUUCUUGGGAAUUUUAACCUCCUGUCCUUGGGCAAAAGUGAGCACAGCAAGCAAAAAAACUUGGAUUGUGUCAUAGAAAAAUUCCCAUUUCCCAUAUUCUGCUCAAGAUGUUGCUUUCUGAGCCUAAAAGAAAUGUCCUUUUGAACAAUUAAAUAUAAUUUUGGGGUCAUAUUCUGGGGGUUGGUUUUGGUUUUUUUUUUGGGGGGGGUGGGGUUUGUGGUUUGUUUGUUUGUUUGUUUUUGAGAUCAGGCAGUUUGCAACAGUGCUAAAAAAAAAAAGGUUUGGUUUUGCUUCCCUAAACGUAGCAGUGUCUGGAAGGAUUUCUUAGGAAUGGCUUGGGGAGGGAAUUUUUGAGGCUGCCAAUAAUCCAAUUAACCACAGUACAACGGGAUAAAUUGAGAUCCUGGGAGAGGAAAAUGAGCUCAGCCAGGGAAAAGUUGAUAUUCCAGAAAGAAUUAGAAAUGUUUGUGCUUGAUGGAUUCAUUCUGGAGCAAAGCAGGUUCUGGGAAAGAGAGAAGAUGAAGAGUCAUAUUAAAGGUGUCAGUGGCCUCUCCAAGCGACUUGAGCUCAAAUUUGCCCUGAUAGGGAAGGAAUUUCUUGAAUUUGCCUUUCCCAGCACUGUGAGGUUCCUGGGGUAUUCAGCUUUUCCUUGGAUGCGGCAGCAUUUGGGAUUUUUGGUGCUGUUUGAUUUUAAUUUGGCUGCUGCAGGGUUGGGAUGAGGCUCCUUCUUUGUUUUGGGGUGUCCUCCCUGCCAGGAAUUCUGCUGGAAGUCAACUCCCACAUCAAGAAAAUGAGAAUAUUCCUUGAAUUCCUUGGAACUGCAGCCAGGCCGCUCAGGUGGUGCUGAAUGGCAGCAAAAGAUUAACCAAAAUACACAAAAUCCUGCUGCAGAUCCAGGAAAAUCUCAAUUUUAGGCUCUGCUAGAAUAAAUUAUUGGAAUUCAUCCUAGUUUUAUAGGUAGAGGAGCUCAGGGAUCCCAGCUGGGAGUGAGACCCAACACAAACUCCUCGAUUUUGGGAAAAGUGGGAAUAAAUCUGGUUUUCCACAAGUUGGGAUUUGGUUGCCUUGGGAGAUGCUCAGUGGGGCUUGUGGAAAAUCCCAGGAAAUCAGGUUUUGGGAUGGAACUAUGCCCAGCUUUUCCCACCCAGCCUGGGAAUCAAUGGGAUUUCCAUAAUUCUGGGUUGUUAAAAAUGAAGAAUCUCCAUGAAUCCCACAGCCAGGUGGGAUCCAUCACCUGGAAACCACUUUAAUUUAGGUAAUUUUAAUCCCAUUAGCAAGUUAAUUCCAUAAAUUUGAUUUUCCUCUCCCUUCCCUGUUUGGAAUCCCAAGUCAAGCUAUGCAUUCCAUAAAAACCAGAUUCUCUGCAGAGCAUUGAACAGGAUACAAAAUCGAAAUUUUUUACCCCAAAACAAAUCUCUGGUCUGGCUUUGAAGGUGUUGGGGUGAGGCAGCAGAUGGGAAAAAUCCAUGGAAUGCUGGACGUGACUUUU